CUCAAUUGGUGGCAGCGGUGGGAUGGCGUCCUAGUGUGAGGCGAAGCAGCUCAGAGACACUGAUAACGUAGUGAUUAAAGUGAGGGCAACGUUAGCAUUCGUGCAGCUCCCCCUGGAAGCAAAGGUGUCCAUUGACUUGGAGCAAGCAAGUAUGGCAUACUCUGACUCUUGCGAAGAUUUUCUGGCCGAGGUGAGGCAACGAGUGGCCUGGUAUGGCCCUGAUGUGUCCAUGGAUACCUUCCAGGCGAUCUGGAACCAGGUAACCGUUGAAAGAGAAGCAAAGAGGGAC